rnacentral:rRNA from 1 species
UACAGAGGUGGCAAGCGUUGUUCGGAAUUACUGGGCGUAAAGGGCGCGUAGGCGGUCUUGCAAGUCCCGUGUGAAAUCCCUCGGCUCAACUGAGGAAUGGCACGGGAAACUGCUUGGCUUGAGUUCGGGAGAGGGAAGCGGAAUUCCGGGUGUAGCGGUGAAAUGCGCAGAUAUCAGGAGGAACACCGGUGGCGAAGGCGGAUCUCUGGGCCUUACCUGACGCUCAGGCGCGAAAGCUAGGGGAGCGAACAGG